CACACAUGAUAAAAAUACAUACGGAGUGUAUUUGCACACCCCGGAGCCCACAGCGGUCCCAUUCACUGUGACAACUGUCACCAUGGAGACACUGGAAUUCCCCUCCAGUGACCACGGUACACAUCCCACCUGUGCAGUGUGAUAAGCAACACCCUCAUACUCUCUUCUACUGUACACACACACUCACCACACACCCCUGGGUCACGGAGUACAUCAGCAGAACCAGAAACCCACACAGAACUGUUCUGAUCUGCAGGGUCAGACAGUCAGGGGAGCACUGAGAAGACAGAGAGGAGAGAGGAGUCAGUAAACCUGCUGAGCAAAAGCACACAGAGACUAGAGUUUCACAUUUGAUGAAAAAAAUCACAGUAGUGUCUGCCUGUGCAAAACUCACCUCCACGAUGCUAGAGUGCUGUGGGUGCUUGCUAGGUGGUGCUAGGGUGUCUCUGAUGGUUGUUUGGUGGAACUAGGGAGGUUGCUAAGGUGUUGCUAUGUGGCUGCUAAGGUGUCCUAAAAGUAGUUGUUGUUUGCUAAUGGCAGAGUGCUCUGGGUCGUUGCUAGUUGGUGUCAGGGAGUUCUGUGUGGUUGCCAAGAUGUUCUAGAUGGUUGCUAUGUGGUAAUAGGGUGUCUGUGAUGGUUGUUAGGUGGUACUAGGGUGCUCUGGGAGGUUGCUAUGUGGCUGCUUAGGUGUCCUGAGUAGUUGUUAGGUGAUGGCAUGGUGCUCUGGGUCAUUGCUAGGUGGUGCCAGGGAGUUCUGAGUGGUUGCUAAGAUGUUCUAAAUGGUUGCUAGGCAGUGCUAGGGUGUCUCUGAUGGUUGUUAGGUGGUAGUAGGGUGCUCUGGGAGGUUGCUAAGGUGUUGCUAUAUGGCUGCUAAGGCGUCCUGAGUUUUUGUUAGGUGAUGGCAGGGUGCUGUGGGUGGUUGCUAUGCUGUGCCAGGGAUAUUUGAGAUAGUUACUAGGAUGUUCUAGAUGGCUGCUAGGUGGUGCUAGGCUGUCUCUGAUGGUUGUUAGGUGGUAAUAGGGUGCUCUGGGAGAUUGAUAUGGUGUUGCUAUGUAGCUGCUAAGGUGUCAUGAGUAGUUGUUAGGUGAUAUGAGGGUGUUCUGGGUCAUUGCUAGGUGGUGCCAGUGAGUUCUGAGUGGUUGCUAGGAUGUUCUAGAUGGUUGCUAGGCGGUGCUAGGUUGUCUCUGAUAGUUGUUAGGUGGUACUAGGGUGCUCUGGGAGGUUGCUAAGGUAGUACUAUGUAGCUGCUAAGGUGUCAUGAGUAGUUGCUAAGUGAUGGCAAGAUGCUCUAAGUGGUUGCUAGGUGAUGCCAGGGAGUUCUGAGUGGUUGCUAGGAUGUUCUAGAUGGUUGGUAGGCGGUGCUAGGGUGUCUCUGAUAGUUGUUAGGCGGUACUAGGGUGCUCUGGGAGGUUGCUAAGGUGUUACUAUGUAGCUGCUAAGGUGUCAUGAGUAGUUGCUAAGUGAUGGCAAGAUGCUCUAAGUGGUUGCUAGGUGAUGCCAGGGAGUUCUGAGUGGUUGCUAGGAUGUUCUAGAUGGUUGCUAGGCGGUGCUAGGGUGUCUCUGAUAGUUGUUAGGUGGUACUAGGGUGCUCUGGGAGGUUGCUAAGGUGUUACUAUGUAGCUGCUAAGGUGUCAUGAGUAGUUGCUAAGUGAUGGCAAGAUGCUCUAAGUGGUUGCUAGGUGGUGCCAGGGAGUUCUGAAUGGUUGCUAGGAUGUUCUAGAUGGUUGCUAGGUGGUGCUAGGGUGUCUCUGAUAGUUGUUAGGUGGUACUAGGGUGCUCUGGGAGGUUGCUAAGGUGUUACUAUGUAGCUGCUAAGGUGUCAUGAGUAGUUGCUAAAUGAUGGCAAGAUGCUCUAAGUGGUUGCUAGGUGAUGCCAGGGAGUUCUGAGUGGUUGCUAGGAUGUUCUAGAUGGCUGCUAGGCGGUGCUAGGGUGUCUCUGAUAGUUGUUAGGCGGUACUAGGGUGCUCUGGGAGGUUGCUAAGGUGUUACUAUGUAGCUGCUAAGGUGUCAUGAGUAGUUGCUAAGUCAUGGCAAGAUGCUCUAAGUGGUUGCUAGGUGGUGCCAGGGAGUUCUGAGUGGUUGCUAGGAUGUUCUAGAUGGUUGCUAGGCGGUGCUAGGGUGUCUCUGAUAGGUGUUAGGUGGUACUAGGGUGCUCUGGGAGGUUGCUAAGGUGUUGCUAUGUAGCUGUUAAGGUGUCAUGAGUAGUUGUUAUGUGAUAUGAGGGUGUUCUGGGUCAUUGCUAGGUGGUGCCAGUGUGUUCUGGCCGGUUGCUAGAGUGUUUUAAUGGUGCUCUGGAUGGUUGUUAGGUGGUUUCAGGGUGUUAUGGAUGGUUGGGUAGGGCAUUGUUAAGGUGUUCUGGGUGAUUGCUAGGGUGUUGUUAGGAUGGUUGCUAGGUGGUACUAGGGUGCUCCAGAUGGUUGUUAGGGUGUUGCUCUGUGGUUGCUACAAAGUUGCUUCAAUGUUGUUCUGCAUGGUUGCUAAGUGGUACUAGGGUGUCUCUGACGGUUGUUAGGUGGUACUAGGAUGUUAUGGGUGGUUGCUAAGGUAUUUGUAGGGUGUUCUGGGUGGUUGUUAGGUGGUGCUAGGGUGCGCUGGUUGGAUGCAAGGGUAUUUGUAGGAUAUGCGUAGGGUACGUGUGAGUGUGUGUGUGUGUGUGUGUGUGUGUGUGUUUUUACCUGCACAUGAGUGAUGUGAAGGUACAUCACACUUGCCAUGUGGAAACACAAACAGAGAACCAGAAGAAUCACAACCAGAAGACCUCUGCAGCAAGAGAGAGAGAGAGAGAGAGAGGGAAAUAGAGGGGUUUUCCACAUGUUAUAUGGAUGUGUGUUGUGUGAUGCAGUGACCUGAGCAAGUAAAAUAUGUGCUCAAUUUAGUGUGUCUGGCAAAUAAAAAAAGGUGUGUUAUGUUGUUGUGUCAGG